rnacentral:rRNA from 1 species
UUGGAGGGCAAGUCUGGUGCCAGCAGCCGCGGUAAUUCCAGCUCCAAUAGCGUAUAUUAAAGUUGUUGCAGUUAAAAAGCUCGUAGUUGAAUUUCGGGAUCAAUAUUUCGGUCAUGCCGUUGGUAUGCACUGUUAUCAUUGAUUUCUCACCUUCUAAAGAACCGUAAUGCCAUUAAUUUGGUGUUACGGGGAAUUAGGACUGUUACCUUGAAAAAAUUAGAGUGUUUAAAGCAGGCUCACGCUUGAAUACAUUAGCAUGGAAUAAUGAAAUAGGACAUCCGAUUCUAUUUUGUUGGUUUCUAGGAUCGAUGUAAUGAUUAAUAGGGAUAGUUGGGGGCAUUAGUAUUCAAUUGUCAGAGGUGAAAUUCUUGGGUUUAUUGAAGACUAACUACUGCGAAAGCAUUUGCCAAGGAUGUUUUCAUUAAUCAAGAACGAAAGUUAGGGGAUCGAAGACGAUCAGAUACCGUCGUAGUCUUAACCAUAAACUAUGCCGACUAGGGAUCGGAUGAUGUUAAUUUUUUAAUGACUCAUUCGGCGCCUUACGGGAAAC